rnacentral:rRNA from 1 species
AGUGAACGCUGGCGGUAGGCCUAACACAUGCAAGUCGAACGGCAGCACAGUAAGAGCUUGCUCUUACGGGUGGCGAGUGGCGGACGGGUGAGGAAUACAUCGGAAUCUACUUUUUCGUGGGGGAUAACGUAGGGAAACUUACGCUAAUACCGCAUACGACCUACGGGUGAAAGCAGGGGAUCUUCGGACCUUGCGCGAUUGAAUGAGCCGAUGUCGGAUUAGCUAGUUGGCGGGGUAAAGGCCCACCAAGGCGACGAUCCGUAGCUGGUCUGAGAGGAUGAUCAGCCACACUGGAACUGGGCAACGGUCCAGACUCCUACGGGAGGCAGCAGUGGGGAAUAUUGGACAAUGGGCGCAAGCCUGAUCCAGCAAUACCGCGUGGGUGAGGAAGGCCUUCGGGUUGUAAAGCCCUUUUGUUGGGAAAGAAAAGCAGCAGGUUAAUACCCCGCUGUUCUGACGGUACCCAAAGAAUAAGCACCGGCUAACUUCGUG